GGGCAAAGCAAAUUUUUAAUAUUUAAUUAUAUUUAGCUUUGAGUGUCUACAGAUAAUAGCUCAUUAAAAUAUAACUCUAAGUUUUGAGGUUUGGAAAUUCUGUCAUUUGGUAUAAUAGGAUAAUCUUAAAUUUAUGGCUUAGGAAUAAACAGCUCCUUUUUUUUUUUUUUUUUUUUUUUUGUCCUCCUUACAUAACACAAAAACAACUGAUCCAGCUUGGCACCAACUUUCUCCUUCAAAGUCACCUUUGUCUGAAAUCUAGCACCUCAGGUUUCAGUCAAAUACCUUGCAGAUGAGAAAAGGUGUCUUAACAAAAAUUUCUUGGAAUUUUAUGACAGUGUUCAUUCCUGGCAGCCUCGGGGAAUCCUUUUUUCAUAGGUUGAAGAUCAGGAUUUGUAACACAGAACAAAUGUGGCCUGGUCACAAGUGAGUACUAGAGAACUACUUCCC
rnacentral:lncRNA from 1 species